rnacentral:lncRNA from 1 species
UUGGUUUUGACUGGUUUUUCCUCUCUUCUCCCUUUCUCUCAAUAGACUUUUCCUUUAAACCGAUUACACUUUCUUCCCUCUCUUUCUAUUUGGAUACUUGGGUCGACUUCUACUUAGCUUCCCUCUCUAACUGUUUCGGUUCUUACACUUCUUCUUUGAACAAUCAGUUGGUGCCUAGUUCUUUUUUCUCUCGCUCUUUUUCUUUAU